rnacentral:rRNA from 1 species
UACAGAGGGUGCGAGCGUUAAUCGGAAUGACUGGGCGUAAAGGGCGCGUAGGCGGUAAUGUGUGUUAGAUGUGAAAGCCCCGGGCUUAACCCGGGAAUGGCAUUUAAAACUGCAUUGCUAGAGUGAAGUAGAGGUGAGCGGAAUUUCCAGAGUAGCGGUGAAAUGCGUAGAUACUGGAAGGAACACCGGUGGCGAAGGCGGCUCACUGGACUUUUACUGACGCUGAGGCGCGAAAGCGUGGGGAGCAAACAGG